rnacentral:rRNA from 1 species
AUUGAACGCUGGCGGCAUGCCUUACACAUGCAAGUCGAACGGCAGCGCGGGGCAACCUGGCGGCGAGUGGCGAACGGGUGAGUAACAUAUCGGAACAUACCCUAGAGUGGGGAUAACGUAGCGAAAGUUACGCUAAUACCGCAUACGCACUAAGGUGGAAAGUGGGGGAUUCGCAAGAACCUCAUGCUCAUGGAGUGGCCGAUAUCUGAUUAGCUAGUUGGUGAGGUAAAGGCUCACCAAGGCGACGAUCAGUAGCUGGUUUGAGAGAACGACCAGCCACACUGGAACUGAGACACGGUCCAGACUCCUACGGGAGGCAGCAGUGGGGAAUUUUGGACAAUGGGGGCAACCCUGAUCCAGCAAUGCCGCGUGAGUGAAGAAGGCCU